AGCUUUUAGGACCUGCAGUAUCUACAAACCAGCUUCUCAGGAGUCACCUGCAGCAUGUAAAUGAAGGUAUGGGUAUUGAUGAGCUCACCCAUCAGAUGUAUGUAGAGUCAGAACAAGUCCAUGGAGAGGCAGCUGAGAAUAGCAGUUGACUGGCAAUUGACACUCAGAAGAAACAGCUAAAAAGAAUCACAAUUCUCCUUUAGUGAAUUAUCUGUCCAACGGUCCAGGCUUGGAGGCAGCUCCCCUAAACAGAUGAGCCUUGUGAGGACAGUUUCUCUCUCGCUGGAACUGGACCCUGGAAUGAGUGAUCCAAAGACAUUAAGUGAUUCACACAGUUCUCUGUGGAGACCCGCUCAGAUCCCCAGAGUUGUAUGAAGAUUUAACUGAAGACAUUUGAGAUAUACCAGAUGAGAAAGAAGCCUUUUCAGAGCUUCCCUUAUCUGACUAAUAGGCAGAGAGUGAACCUGCCAUAAAUUCCCUCUUCAGGAAAGCCUCACUUCCAGGAAGAAGACUGACUGCUCACAGAGAGAGAGGCAUGUUUUUGACCAUCUUGAGCUGAUCUGUGAGGCAUCUAUAAGAAGCUGAAGAACGUGAAAUUCUCAUUUAAUCUGGAAGUUCCAGGACCUCAAGUUGGUUUAAACAUUCAGGAAGAAGCAAACUUAAGGGAACUGAAUCAUACUAAAUAGACUCUCAAUGUAGCAUAUAAA